CUACAGGUGAGGAUACUUUGGCCAUUCCCACUACCUUAGCUGAUGGAGCUUCGGAUGUUGCUACAACCAUGUAUGAGAAAACAUUGCCUGUUACAACGACUGCAGGUGUGGAAACAAUGGCUGAUGCUACCAUUAUUGUUGACAAAACCUUUACUGUUGCCACAACUGUAGGCGAACAAUCUUUGCCUGUUUUCACAACCAUUGAUGAGCAAACGUCAACUGCUGCUGCAAGCUUGGUUGACGAAGCUUCAUUUUCCCAUUUAACUUUGAGCAAAAGAACUUCGACUCUGACCGCAACCUUGGGUGAUCAAACUUCAAGCAUUGCUACCUUCCAUCCAGAAAUUCCUAGUGUUCCUGCAACUGUGGGUGAAGAAACUUGUAGCAUUCCCGCACCCUCGGCUGAAGAAACUCGUAUUCUUCCAAACUUGGAUGCAGAAACUCCUAUCCAUCCUGUGACCUUGGCAGAGGAAACCCCUAGUAUUUCUAGAACCUUGGGCGAAGAUACUCCAUCUGUCCCUGCAGCCUCCAAUGAAGAAGCUCUGGUAGGUACUCUGAUCUUCAGUGGAGGAACUCACACCCUUCCUGGAAAAUUGGUUCCCACAACCUUGUGUGAGGAAACAACCAUGCCUGCAACGUUAGGUCAAGAAACUCCUACCCUUCCUGCAACAUUGGGUGAAGAAGCUCAUAGUAUUCCCUCAACCUCGAGUGACGAAAAUCGUGGCAUUCCAACUAACUUGGAUGAAGAAACUCCUACUGAUCCUGUGACCUUGGCAGAGGAAAGCCCCAGUAUUCCUGAAACCUUGGAUGAAGAAACUCCAUCUGUUCCUCCAACAUUCAGUGAAGAAACUCCAGCUGUUCCUCCGUCAUACAGUGAAGGAACUACUAUUCCUCCUUCCUUCAACGAGGAAACUCCUACUGUUCCUGUAACAUUGGGUCCAGAAACUCUAACCACUUCUACCGCCACGAGUGAGGAAACUGCAAAGAUUCCUGCGACCUCAGGUGAGGAAACUACAAGUGCUCCUGUGACCCUGCAUGAGGAAACUCUGGCUAUUCCGACAACUUUGGAUGAGGGCAGUCCAACAAUGACCACAAAAUUGGAUGAGGAAACUCCAACCAGUCCCACGAACUUAGCUGAGGAAACUUUGACUACUCCCACAUCCUCCGGUGUGGAAGCUUCA
rnacentral:lncRNA from 1 species